AUGUAUAUGCCUGUGUACCAAUAUAUCCUCAUUUGUAUCGAGGACGAGAUUGAUCCCUGGGAUGGCGGGACUGUCAUAUGAGGAAAGAUUGAAAAGACUAGGCUUGUAUUCACUGGAGUUUAGAAGGAUGAGGGGGAUCAUAUAGAAACAUAAAAUUAUAAAAGGACUGGACAAGCUAGAUGCAGGAAAAAUGUUCCCAAUGUUGGGUGAGUCCAGAACCAGGGGCCACAGUCUUAGAAUAAAGGGGAGGUAAUUUAAGACUGAGGUGAGAAAAAACUUUUUCACCCAGAGUUGUGAAUUUAUGGAAUUCCCUGCUACGGAGGGCAGUGGAGGCCAAAUCACUGGAUGGAUUUAAGAGAGAGUUAGAUAGAGCUCUAGGGGCUAGUGGAGUCAAGGAAUGUGGGGAGAAGGCAGGCACGGGUUAUUGAUAGGGGACGAUCAGCCAUGAUCACAAUGAAUGGCGGUGCUGGCUCGAACCUACUCCCGCACCUAUUUUCUAUGUUUCUAUGUAUAUAUUGUCUUAAUCAGCAUUUUACUACUUUGCACUCUGGUUAGAUGCUAAACUGCAUUUCGUUGUACCUGUACUUGUACUAUGUGCAAUGACAAUAAAGUUGAAUCUAAUCUAAUCUAAUCAUAGAAGGCUUUGGACCAAUGGCUAGAAAAUGAGAUUAAUACUGAUGGGGGCCAACUGGUCGGUGUGGGCAUGGUGGGCUGAAUGCAGUAAUACAUGCAAUGAAUGUGACCCCUUUGUGAGGGCCACAGCAGCUAGCAAGACAACAAAAUAAUUUUGGCUUGUUGCAGAUCCUGCAGCUAACGGAAGGGGGAAUGGGGGGGAAUAGGGGGCUAUGAACAGAAAACAGAGAAUCAUUAGAUUGCUCUUUCAUAACAUAUGUGCACUCGACGGGCCGAAUGGCACCCUUCCGUUUUCUAAGCAUGCUGUGAUUACAGGGCUUCUUAUCAAUGUUGAAUGAAGAUAACCAUUGACCACACAGAGACAUGGGGUGACGCAGGGGAGAGGUCGCAUAUCACUUCGAAUUACCACAAGCGUGGACUUUAAAAAGGCGCUUUUUCACUGAAAAAUACUUCCUCCUUUUGGACAGCCGGAUAAACGGCCAACACUGUAACUGCACUGACACACUCACGGCACUGACUGAAGUAUGUUACAUUCUGGUCCUUUUGAAAACAAAAAAAACUGUUUUAUUCGCUACGAAUAUCAUUACCUCGUUCAGCACCAAUUGUAAACUCAGGAAAAAAUGGCAAGAACAGCUUGACCAAUGUCAGCAGGUUAACGACAUCAGGACUCUAUCUGAUUUACUUAUUUGGCUUCAGAGAAAUCUACAGAAACUAUUGUUUAGAUGACCAGCUAAUGCUUUAGAUGAGACAUCUAAUGCUGUUGUCUCCUGGUGGCAAAUUUAUGGAGAAACACUCAAGCCAAAAUAAGAGAAAAUGGGUCUGUGGACAGGUGAGACUUGAGGAAGGUGUGUUGCCUCCCUGGUGCCGGGGUCUAAGACAUCUCAGACCGACUUCAGAACAUCCUCAUGAGGGAAGGAUCUCAGCAUCCAAAAUUGAGCCAAACAACUGUUGGUGGUGAACUGUUUUAUUGAAAUAAUGCAGUGUUUCUAGUGAAAGGAUAACAUGACUGUUGGGAAGGAUGUCGAUAUAUGUCGGUAAAAGAGAAAAAAAGAGGGAAUAAAAGGGUCUCCAAUCUGAAACGUUGUGAAACAAGGAAUUUCUGAUGCUGGAAUCUAGAGGAAAACGCAAAGGGCUGGUGUACCUCAGCGGGUCAGCCUAACAUCAUGGAGUUGGCGACCUUUCCUGGAGACCGGCCCGGCGCUCCAAGCCGCGGGAGUAUGCGGGACUUUAACAUUGCGGAGCUUGCGAUCCCUUUGCCGUGGAUCGAAGCUCCAACCACGGGGCCUGUGGACUUAAACAUCGUGAAGCCCACGGUCUCUGGUAAGAAGAGGCCGAUUCAGGAGCUUCAUGCCGCGGAGAGUGUUUCAACCACCCCGACGCAGGAGUUUCGAUCACACUGACACGAGGGCUUCGAUCAUCGGCUGCGGGGGGGGCUUUGAUCGCCCAACUGCGAAUGGUUUGACUGCCCCGACCUCGGGAGAACAAAGAGGAAGAAGAUUGAAUUUUAUUGCCUUCAUCACAGUGAAGAAUGUGGAAUGCACUGUGGUGGAUGUUUAUGUUAACUUUUAUGUGGUUGUGUGUCUUGUUGCUUUUCACUUAGUAUAGCUGUAUGGUAAUUCAAAUGUCACUGUACCUCAAUUGGUACAGUUGACAAUAAACUGACCUUGA